rnacentral:lncRNA from 1 species
CAAUAUUCACCUAAAUUCACCCAGUUUUACCUCAAAUCCUCAAUAUUUACCCCAAAAUCCCCAACAUUUACCUCAUAUUCCCCUCCAUUCACCUCAGCACCCCCACACUUCCCCUCACACCCCCAAAUUCACCCCAUUUUCCCCCAAAUUUACCUCAAUUUCACCUCAAAACCCCCAUAUUUCCCUCAAUAUUCCCAAUGUUCACCUAAAUAUCCCCAAAUUCACCCGGUUUUACCUCAAAUCCUCCAUAUUUACCCCCAAAUACCCAACAUUUACCUCACAUUCCCCUCCAUUCACCUCAGUAUCCCCACAUUCCCCCUCACACCCCCAAAUUUACCCCAUUUCCACCCAAAUUUACCUCAAUUUCACCUCCAAACCCCCAUAUUUCCCUCAAUAUUCCCAAUGUUCACCUAAAUAUCCCUGAAUUUACCUCAAUUUUACCACAAAUCCCCCACAUUUACCCCAAAAUCCCCAACAUUUACCUCACAUUCCCCUCCAUUCACCUCAGUAUCCCCACAUUUCCCCUCACACCCCCAAAUUCACCCCAUUUCCACCCAAAUUUACCUCAGUUUUACCUCAAAACCCCCAUAUUUCCCUCAAUAUUCCCAAUGUUCACCUAAAUAUCCCCAAAUUCACCUCAGUUUUACCUCAAAUCCUCAAUAUUUACCCCAAAAUUCCCAACAUUUACCUCAUAUUCCCCUCCAUUCACCUCAGUAUCCCCACACUUCCCCUCACACCCCCAAAUUCACCCCAUUUACCCCCAAAUUUACUUCAGUUUUACCUCCAAACUCCCAUAUUUCCCUCAAUAUUCCCAAUAUUCACCUAAAUUCACUCAGUUUUACCUCAAAUCCCCAAUAUUUACCCCAAAAUCCCCAACAUUUACCUCAUAUUCCCCUCACACCCCCAAAUUCACCCCAUUUCCACCCAAAUUUACCUCAGUUUUACCUCAAAACUCCCAUAUUUCCCUCAAUAUUCCCAACAUUCAACUAAAUAUCCCCAAAUUCACCUCAGUUUUACCUCAAAUCCUCCAUAUUUACCCCAAAAUCCCCAACAUUUACCUCAUAUUCCCCUCCAUUCACCUCAGUAUCCCGACAUUCCCCCUCACACCCCCAAAUUUACCCCAUUUCCCCCCAAAUUUACCUCAGUUUUACCUCAAAACCCCCAUAUUUCCCUCAAUAUUCCCGAUGUUCAUCUAAAUUCACCCACUUUUACCUCAAAUCCUCAAUAUUUACCCCAAAAUCCCCAACAUUUACCUCAUAUUCCCCUCCAUUCACCUCAGCAUCCCCCCAUUUCCCCUCACACCCCCAAAUUCACCCCAUUUCCCCCCAAAUUUACCUCAGUUUCACCUCAAAACCCCCAUAUUUCCCUCAAUAUUCCCAACAUUCAACUAAAUAUACCCAAAUUCACCUCAGUUUUACCUCAAAUCCUCAAUAUUUACCCCAAAAUCCCCAAUAUUUACCUCAUAUUCCCCACACACCCCCAUUUUCACCCCAUUUCCCCCCAAAUUUACCUCAGUUUUACCUCAAAUCCUCAAUAUUUACCCCAAAAUCCCCAACAUUUACCUCAUAUUCCCCUCCAUUCACCUCAGCAUCCCCACAUUUCCCCUCACACCCCCAAAUUCACCCCAUUUCCCCCCAAAUUUACCUCAAUUUCACCUCCAAACCCCCAUAUUUCCCUUAAUAUUCCCAAUAUUCACCUACAUUCACCCAGUUUUACCUCAAAUCCUCAAUAUUUACCCCAAAAUCCCCAACAUUUACCUCACAUUCCCCUCCAUUCACCUCAGUAUCCCCACAUUCCCCCUCACACCCCCAAAUUUACCCCAUUUCCCCCCAAAUUUACCUCAAUUUUACCUCAAAUCCCCCAUAUUUCCCUCAAUAUUCCCAAUUUUCACCUAAAUAUCCCUGAAUUUACCUCAAUUUUACCUCAAAUCCUCAAUAUUUACCUCAAAAUCCCCAACAUUUACCUCACAUUCCCCUCCAUUCACCUCAGCAUCCCCCAUUUCCCCUCACACCCCCAAAUUUACCCCAUUUCCCCCCAAAUUUACCUCAGUUUUACCUCAAAACCCCCAUAUUUCCCUCAAUAUUCCCAAUAUUCACCUAAAUUCACCCAGUUUUACCUCAAAUCCCCCACAUUUACCCCAAAAUCCCCAACAUUUACCUCAUAUUCCCCUCCAUUCACCUCAGUAUCCCCACAUUCCCCCUC